ACAAAAGAGACCAACAUCAGUACUGUUCAACAUAUGGGCAACUGCAAAUUAUCUGGCAGUUACGCCUACAUUAAGCAGUGUUCACCAAAGUUAUUACCAAGGGGCUGAUUAAUUACUUAAAUUUAUCAGCAUCAAAAUACACUCAACAAUUACUCUGCACAGGCAUCAGUUUUAAAAGGAUCUGUAUCUGGAAUCUGGGGAAAGAUAAUCAUUCAUAGAAUGGCCACGUCACGAGUAGAGGCCAUUCAGCCCACUGAAUGCGUACCAGCUUGAAAAACAAAUCCAUUCUGUGAAUUCCUUCCUAUUGGACCUCACCCAUUGACAAUGAAACCUGCCUGCACCAUGACCCCACCUAACCCCACACCCCAAACACUCACUGGCUUUGCUGUCAGCUUUGGUUGCUGAGCCCAACACCCUCAUUUUACGGUCCCUUUUCCUUCAUAAUUCAAUGGAACUGAAGAUCUCUAUCUUGAAGAAAGCAGACAGUGUAGGCGGGUCGUGUAGUGAGUUCUUUUGAAGACCCUAACGUGGGGUUACGCGCUGACUUCGGUUCUUUGCGGGAAUGGGACCCGCUGAUGGGGCCUCACGACUGGUCGCUAUUCAAUAUGCCAAGGGCGCGGCCUAGGAGACCUGCACGCCUUAGGGAUCUCGUGGCUCUGGAGGUGGGCAGACUCGAGGCUGCUGCUGCUGCAGGAAAUCCCUGUGUCGUGGGAGAAGGAAGAUCUAAAGCAGCGAGCUGGCUGCGGGCUCUGUGCCCAGGGACCCGAGAUCUUUGACACAACAGACUUUUAACAUCGUAAAUCAGUGAGGUGCUUGUUAUGUGGCCCCUCUCGCUGUGUAAUGGAGACAGAUGAGGGAGAGACAGAGAGAGCCUGUGGUAUAUCGAAUACUGGGAGAAUGAGUAACCACAAGCCUGUGUCUUUAUUGAUGCUUUGCUGCAUGCUGGAGUGCUCGGUGGGGGUUUUUACUGGUGGGGGAGGGGGGUCAUUGCUUUGAUGCUGCCCGUGAGAGGGUGGGGGAAGCUGGAGAGGGGCUUCAGAGUUCUAACACUUAACUCUCAUUCAUUCUUUCGGGCAACUCCUCGUGGAAGGCUGUGAAGAAAAAGCAUUUCAGGCUGUAUAUUGUAUACAUUUCUCUGACAUUAAAUGUUCCUUCGAAAUCUUUGAAACCAUCUGCACAUUACAACACACUGUCACUACACCUGACUGUCUGCACAUUACAACACACUGUCACUGUACCUGAAUGUCUGCACAUUACAACACACUGUCACUACACCUGACUGUCUACACAUUACAACACACUGUCACUACACCUGACUGUCUGCACAUUACAACACACUGUCACUGUACCUGAAUGUCUGCACAUUACAACACACUGUCACUGUACCUGUUUACACAUUACACUGUCACUACACCUGACUGUCUACACAUUACAACACAUUGUCACUGUAUCUGACUGUCUACACAUUACAACACACUGUCACUGUACCUGACUGUCUACACAUUACAACACACUGUCACUACACCUGAUUGUCUACAUAUGUCAACACACUGUCACUGUACCUGAAUGUCUACACAUUACAACACACUGUCACUGUACCUGACUGUCUACACAUGUCAACACACUGUCACUGUACCUGACUGUCUACACAUUACAACACAUUGUCACUACACCUGUCUACACAUGUCAACACACUGUCACUGUACCUGACUGUAUACACAUUACAACACACUGUCACUACACCUGACUGUCUACACAUUACAACACACUGUUACUGUACCUGACUGUCUACACAUUACAACACACUGUCACUACACCUGACUGUCUACACAUGUCAACACACUGUCACUGUACCUGACUGUCCACACAUUACAACACACUGUCACUACACCUGACUGUCUACGCAUUACAACACACUGUCACUACACCUGACUGUCUACACCAGGGGUCGGCAACGUUUACCACUAAAAGAGCCAAUAUGGACCCAUUUCCCACAGAAAAGAAAACACUGGGAGCCACAAAAUGAAAUAACACUGCAUACAACGGGUUUUUUUUGCCUUUAUGCUAUGUAUAAACAAACUAUAAUGUGUUGCAUUUUUGAAAUUGAUGAACUCCUGCAGAGAAAACGAAAUUACAUUUCUGCAUGCAACAAAAACAUUUUGAACUCUGAAAAAAAGACGUUGGGUUGAAGGUUACUACAUAGGUAGCCUACCUUGGAUCGAAGAAUUAAAAGAAAGCGCGCACUGGCGGGUGUCAGGCAUUGGCAGUUGUGAUGUAUAUUAAUAGCGAUAAAAAACACGUUGUAGCGGUGUAGCGCUACACGCAGCGCUAAAAAAAAGACUGCAGUCAAAGGUAACUUUAUUCGAACUAAACAGCCUUGCUUUAAAGCCUCCCUCAACCCGUCCCCGUGGGCGCGGAUGCUCCAAAAGACACGUACUCACAAACCCCCGUAGGCUAUCUCCCUUAGUCGGAACGGUGGCUAAUUGUGAGCCGGUUCGGAUGUGCCAGGAAACGGUGUCUCCGCAAAGUUUUCAUAUUGUACAAGAUCACCAUAAUCUUCAAAUUUCGAAUUACAUUUCAAAAGCUAACAAACCACGGGGAGCCGCAUCACAGAGAUCAAAGAGCCGCAUGUGGCUCUGGAGCCGCAGGUUGCCGACCUCUGGUCUACACAUUACAACAUACUGUCACUGUACCUGACUGUCUACACAUGUCAACACACUGUCACUGUACCUGACUGUCUACACACUACAACACACUGUCUCUGUACCUGACUGUCUAAACAUUACAAUACACUGUCACUGUAUCUGACUGUCUACACAUUACAACACACUGUCACUGUACCUGACUGUCCACACAUUACAACACACUGUCACUACACCUGACUGUCUACACAUUACAACACACUGUCACUGUAUCUGACUGUCUACACAUUACAACACACUGUCACUGUACCUGACUGUCUACACAUUACAACACACUGUCACUGUACCUGACUGUCUACACAUUACAAUACACUGUCACUGUACCUGACUGUCCACACAUUACAACACACUGUCACUACACCUGUCUACGCAUUACAACACACUGUCACUACACUUGUCUACACAUUACAACACACUGUCACUGUACCUGACUGUCUA